GUCCACGCCAUAAACGAUGAACACUAGGUGUAGGUGGUCUUAAAACUGUCUGUACCGUAGCUAACGCGAUAAGUGUUCCGCCUGGGGAGUACGACCGCAAGGUUAAAACUCAAAGGAAUUGACGGGGGCCCGCACAAGCAGCGGAGCGUGUGGUUUAAUUCGAUGCAACGCGAAAACCUUACCUGGGUUUGACGUGGCGGUAGUAGUGAAGCGAAAGCGGAACGACCCUUCGGGGAGCCGUCACAGGUGCUGCAUGGCUGUCGU
rnacentral:rRNA from 1 species